rnacentral:lncRNA from 1 species
GCUGGGUAAUGGAGAAUCUGUCUUGAGAUCCAGUGUAAUGACUGAGUAGCGAGGCUAACCUGUGACCAGCUCCCGGAUCUCCAGGUCCGUAGUCUUGCGGAGUAACCUCACCAGUGCCGGGAUGCCACCGCAGUUUUUCAGAGCGAUUUUGUUAUCAUCGUUGGCCUUUCCAUACACCAAGUUCCUCAGGGCGCCGCAGGCACUGCGGUGGACUUCGGUCAUCCGGUGAUCCAGCAGCUCCUGCGAGUGCUUGCUGUACUGCUCGGACGCGUGAACCAGGCGCUGGGUGGGCGACAGGGUGGCGUAGGUGCCGAUGGUGGAGCUCAGCUGGUGGAUGGGCGAGGAGGAGAUGGUGGACUGCACGGUGGGGGGCGAGGUCACGCGGAUCGGGGACAGGCCGGCCGAGGACACGACGAUGUUGAUGGGCGAGCUGGUGCUGUAGGACUUGGCCAGGCGGCUGGGCGACUGCUUGGGCGAGGAGCC